GACGAACGCUGGCGGCGUGCUUAACACAUGCAAGUCGAACGGUAAGGCCCUUCGGGGUACACGAGUGGCGAACGGGUGAGUAACACGCGGGUGAUCUGCCCUGCACUUCGGGAUAAGCCUGGGAAACUGGGUCUAAUACCGGAUAGGACUCCGGACUGCAUGGUCUGGGGUGGAAAGCUUUUGCGGUGGGGGAUGGGCCCGCGGCCUAUCAGCUUGUUGGUGGGGUGAUGGCCUACCAAGGCGACGACGGGUAGCCGGCCUGAGAGGGUGACCGGCCACACCGGGACUGCGAUACGGCCCAGACUCCUACGGGAGGCAGCAGUGGGGAAUAUUGCACAAUGGGCGCAAGCCUGAUGCAGCGACGCCGCGUGAGGGAUGACGGCCUUCGGGUUGUAAACCUCUUUCAGCAUCGACGAAGCGAAAGUGACGGUAGGUGCAGAAGAAGGACCGGCCAACUACGUGCCAGCCGCCGCGGUAA
rnacentral:rRNA from 1 species